rnacentral:rRNA from 1 species
CUUGGUGGUUUAAGCGAGAUGGAAACACCCGUUCCCAUUCCGAACACGGAAGUUAAGCAUCUCAGCGUCGAUGAUAAUAUCCGGUUCGCCGGAUGUGAAAGUAGACCACUGCCAAGA